UUUUAUACGUUGUGGGGAUAGAGUUGACAAAUUAACUUUAAAAUAUUGCAUGCGAUUCUACUGGGGACGGCUAGCACGAAUCUUGUGUCACAUGUGACUUACCUGUUCAGUUCGACAACCGGGCUGUACUCUGUGUCUUGGUUUAUUCAGGCUGUUGUCACAAAAUACCAUAUAUUGGGUGGCUUAAAAACAACAAAUAUUUAUUUCUCACGGUUUCCAGAGGCUGGGAAGUCUAAGAGGGCUCACUUGUUUUUCACGGAGAGUACUUCCUUUCUGUGUCCUCUCACAGUGCAAAAGGCAAGGGUCUCUUUUAUAAGAGCAAUAACAACCAUCCACGAGGGCUCCCCCUCGUGAACUAAUCACCUCCAAAAAGCCCCACCUCCCAAUAGGGUCACAUUGAGGUUAUACAAAAUUCAUUAAUAUGAAUGGUGGGGCGGACACAAACAUUCAAUCUGCAGUACUUGGGCAACAAGACUGGUCCUCUUGUCCCCUUGCCUGUUGUGAUGAUGUCAAAUUGCCAGAAAAGUUUCUAAAGCCUCAUUGUUGAUUUCUACACUUAGUGGGUUGUGGCUUGGAGCAAACCCACAGACCACAGUUUGAGUAGCCCAGUGCUGGAAUGACAAGUUGCAUAAUUUGAGGAGAAAUACUAUGGGGUAACAGAUAAUGCUUCAGGUGGUUUUUUUGUCUGUUUUGUUUUUAAUCAAGACCACUUCCACUUUUGAAGAAGAUAGCUGUCUCCUGUUCAUACAUCGCGCAUCUCAGGUGCUGGAGAAAUUCUUGAGAAGAACACCCAAGGCAGUGAGCGUAAUGUUACAAAAUGCGCAGAGAGAAACCUGGGGCAGAAUUCAUCCUUUCCUCUCAAAUCGCAAGCUGCAGCCUUCUGUUCAUACUUACAGACUUGGGUAGUCAUUGUUCACACACACCUGUGAGCUCCCUGAAGGCUGGGACCAGGUCGUUUUCACCUGUAACUGGAGCUCUUACCACAGAGAGAGGGAAGAUUCACGGCAGCAUCAUGGAAACCCACGACAACAGGCACAAGAGGGAACGGGAGUCGGACAUGGACAGCGACACCAACUCUGAAUCAGGCUUGGACUCAGGCAGGACGACA
rnacentral:lncRNA from 1 species